rnacentral:rRNA from 1 species
GUGGGGAAUAUUGGACAAUGGGCGAAAGCCUGAUCCAGCCAUGCCGCGUGUGUGAAGAAGGUCUUCGGAUUGUAAAGCACUUUAAGUUGGGAGGAAGGGCAGUAAGUUAAUACCUUGCUGUUUUGACGUUACCGACAGAAUAAGCACCGGCUAACUUCGUGCCAGCAGCCGCGGUAAUACGAAGGGUGCAAGCGUUAAUCGGAAUUACUGGGCGUAAAGCGCGCGUAGGUGGUUUUGUAAGUUGGAGGUGAAAUCCCCGGGCUCAACCUGGGAACUGCCUCCAAAACUGCAUGACUAGAGUACGGUAGAGGGUAGUGGAAUUUCCUGUGUAGCGGUGAAACGCGUAGAUAUAGGAAGGAACACCAGUGGCGAAGGCGACUACCUGGACUGAUACUGACACUGAGGUGCGAAAGCGUGGGGAGCAAACAGGAUUAGAAACCCGGGUAGUCC